UACGUAGGGUGCAAGCGUUAAUCGGAAUUACUGGGCGUAAAGCGUGCGCAGACGGUCAUGUAAGUCGGGUGUGAAAGCCCCGGGCUCAACCUGGGAAUUGCAUUCGAGACUGUGUGGCUAGGGUGCGGAAGAGGGAAGCGGAAUUUCCGGUGUAGCGGUGAAAUGCGUAGAUAUCGGAAGGAACACCAGUGGCGAAAGCGGCUUCCUGGUCCAGCACCGACGUUCAGGCACGAAAGCGUGGGGAGCAAACAGG
rnacentral:rRNA from 1 species